CCUACGGGAGGCAGCAGUGAGGAAUAUUGGUCAAUGGUCGGGAGACUGAACCAGCCAAGCCGCGUGAGGGAUGAAGGUACAGAGUAUCGUAAACCUCUUUUGUCAGGGAACAAAGGCGGGGACGUGUCCCCGGCUGAGUGUACCUGAAGAAUAAGCAUCGGCUAACUCCGUGCCAGCAGCCGCGGUAGUACGGAGGCUGCGAGCGUUAUCCGGAUUUAUUGGGUUUAAAGGGUGGGCAGGCGGUCUGGUAAGUCGGCGGUAAAAGGCCGGGGCUUAACCCCGGCCCGCCGUUGAAACUGGCAGUCUUGAGUUGGAGAGAAGUAUGCGGAAUGCGCGGUGUAGCGGUGAAAUGCAUAGAUAUCGCGCAGAACUCCGAUUGCGAAGGCAGCAUGCCGGCUCCACACUGACGCUGAGGCACGAAAGCGUGGGGAUCGAACAGGAUUAGAUACCCUAGUAGUC
rnacentral:rRNA from 1 species